rnacentral:rRNA from 1 species
UACGUAGGGGGCCCAGCGUUGUCCGGAUUUAUUGGGCGUAAAGAGCGUGUAGGCGGCCGGAUAAGUCUGACGUGAAAUGUCGAGGCUCAACCUCGAACCGUCGUUGGAAACUGUCCGGCUAGAGUCCGGAAGAGGAGAGUGGAAUUCCCGGUGUAGCGGUGAAAUGCGCAGAUAUCGGGAAGAACACCCAUGGCGAAGGCAGCUCUCUGGGACGGUACUGACGCUGAGACGCGAAAGCGUGGGGAGCGAACAGGAUUAGAUACCCCUGUAGU